rnacentral:rRNA from 1 species
AACGAACGCUGGCGGCAGGCCUAACACAUGCAAGUCGAACGGGACCUUCGGGUCUAGUGGCGGACGGGUGAGUAACGCGUGGGAACGUGCCCUUUGGUUCGGAAUAGCCCCGGGAAACUGGGAGUAAUACCGGAUAAGCCCUACGGGGGAAAGAUUUAUCGCCAAAGGAUCGGACCGCGUUGGAUUAGGUAGUUGGUGAGGUAAUGGCUCAACAAGCCGACGAUCCAUAGCUGGUUGGAGAGGAUGAUCAGCCACACUGAGACUGAGACACAGCCCAGAGUCGUACGGGAGGAAGCAGUGGGGAAUCGUAGACAAUGGGGGAAACCCUGAUCUAGCCAUGCCGCGUGAUCGAUGAAGGCCUUAGGGUUGUAAAGAUCUUUCAGUGGGGAAGAUAAUGACUGUACCCACAGAAGAAGCCCCGGCUAACUCCGUGCCAGCCGCCGCGGUAA